AAACUACCAAGGAUUCCCCCUAGUAACGGCGAGUGAAGAGGGAAGAGCCCCAAGAUUGAAAGCCGGCGUUUUCGGCGUCCGCAUUGUAAUCUCAAGAAGUGUUUUCCGCUUCGGACCAUGCCUAAGUCCCUUGGAAAAGGGCAUCAUAGAGGGUGAUAAUCCCGUACAUGGCAUGGAGCGCCCGAAGCUUUGUGAUACGCUUUCUAAGAGUCGAGUUGUUUGGGAAUGCAGCUCAAAAUGGGUGGUAAAUGCCAUCUAAGGCUAAAUAUUGGGGAGAGACCGAUAGCGAACAAGUACAGUGAUGGAAAGAUGAAAAGAACUUUGAAAAGAGAGUUAAACAGUACGUGAAAUUGCCAAAAGGGAAGGGUAGGAGGUCAGAGAUGCGGCCUGGGAUUCAGCCUUGCUUUUGCUUGGUGUUUUUCCCAGAUUGCAGGCCAACGUCGGUUUUGGGCACUGGAGAAGGGUAGGAGGAACGUGGCACCUCUCGGGGUGUGUUAUAGCCUCCUACUGGAUACAGCGACCGAGACCGAGGACAGCAGCGUACUCGCAAGAGCGGGCCUUCGGGCACCUUUACGCUUAGGGCGUUGGCAUAAUGGCCCUCUACCACCCGUCUU
rnacentral:rRNA from 1 species